AAAACAAAAACCCCCCCUCCUUGACCUCAAAUCGGGUG
rnacentral:rRNA from 1 species